GCAGUUACCGUUGGUAACUUUCCUCACCAACCGUCACUUGCCGUGAAGCGAGCCCGCGAAGGAACAAGUGGCAGGAAGCUUCGUUCAAACUAUUGCCACCGUGGGCGACCUUUUUUUUUUAAUGGGCGCCAGGGCCGGUUCCAGCUUUUUUGUGGCGUCCCAGUAACAUAUUUGUGAGGAAACUCUUAUUCUCAGGGUGUCCACAUGUGGUUUUUCUUUUAAAAAGGAAGAUAGUCCUUCCUGGAAGCGCUGCAGAGUCCGAACACUGUCCUUGGUGAAAGGAUCUGCCAGGUGAAGGACUGUCCAUCCCCCCCACUCCUGAUUGAGUAAAGAUGUGUGGCUCAACAUCUCUGUCAUAGUUCCAAGACCAUUUGAAACUUGGCAUUGGUCCCAGUUGGCCAUCCUACCCAUUUGCCUCCUUGCUCUUCACCCCAUCCUCAUCACUGGGUCUCUGAGAGAGAGCCUUGAAGGGAGAAGGAGGAGCGAAGACUCCGUCAUUCACUCUUCUGAUGGUGCUGGCUGCUCUUAAUACACUCGCCUGGAGGGAGAAGGCAAGGAUUUAACUGAAAGAAGAAGGAUCCUCUACGCAGAGAGAAAGAAGGGAAUAUGAUGUUCAUUUUUUGAAGCUACAAGAAUCCAGAAACUGAAAUGUGAAGUCAAAGCCAUCCUCCUCCAUAUGCAACUGCAAUCAGUUCAAGGCUGAUUCACAUACAUGUAUGACUGGGUGAAUGAGCCACUGUCAACUACUGACUACAAACAUAAGUUUCAGCACAACACCUAAUGAUAACUCAAAAAUCCAUGCUUGAAUAGAGGAUUUUUUCUAGGCAUUUGAAUUGUGUGUGUGUGGUUUUGCCAUAAGCAAUUAAUAGUUAGAGAACCUGAGAAACAGUGAUGACAAUUGCUUUCUGUUUGUACGUAUGAGAAGUGGUUAACUGGUUCUGGGAUUUUCACU